GAUGAACGCUGGCGGCGUGCCUAAUACAUGCAAGUCGAGCGAACAGACGAGGCGCUUGCUUCGCUGACGUUAGCGGCGGACGGGUGAGUAACACGUGGAUCACCUCCCUAUAAGACUGGGAUCACUUCGGAACACCGGAGCUAAUCCCGUAUAAUCUCUUGAACCACAUGGUUCAAUAGUGAAAGACGGUGUUGCUGUCACUUAUAGCUGGAUCUCCGCUUCAUUAGCUAGUUGGUAAGGUAACGGCGUACCAGGGCAACGAGGCGUAGACGACGGGAGAGAGGGGUAGCCGACACGGGAACGUGGACACGGUCCAGGCUCCUAAGGUAGGCAGCAGUAGGGUAUCGGACGCAAUGGGGGAAAGCCUGACGGAGCAAGGGGGCGUGAGAGAUGGAGGUCUUGGGAGCGUAAAACUCUGUUAUGAGGGAAGAACAGAUGUGUAAGUAAAUGUGCAGUGCUUGACGGUAACGAGUCAGAAAGCAACGGCUAACUACGUG
rnacentral:rRNA from 1 species